rnacentral:tRNA from 1 species
GGGCACUUGGCACAGUUGGUAGCGCGCACGCUUCGCAUUUUCCUUUAGUGAUUGCGUGAGGUCGUGAGUUCAAUUCUCACAGUGUCCA